rnacentral:lncRNA from 1 species
CGACGUCUUGUUGGUAUUUGUGGCUAUCUCAGAAUAGUAAAGUGUUUGAAAGGUUGGUUACAACUUUGACGCUUUAUUGUUUCAUUCUAAAAUGAGAGCGUUAAUGUGGGCAAGAGCUGUUCAUAAUGAAUGAAUCUUCUUGAAAAGUGAUUGGUGGAGCUGGCCGGUGAAGUGUUGUGUGGGUGGAAGAUCGAUAAGGACUCGGGACUUAGUUUGGGAUCC